UACGUAGGGUGCAAGCGUUGUCCGGAAUUAUUGGGCGUAAAGAGCUCGUAGGCGGCUUGUCACGUCGGGUGUGAAAGCCCGGGGCUUAACCCCGGGUCUGCAUUCGAUACGGGCUAGCUAGAGUGUGGUAGGGGAGAUCGGAAUUCCUGGUGUAGCGGUGAAAUGCGCAGAUAUCAGGAGGAACACCGGUGGCGAAGGCGGAUCUCUGGGCCAUUACUGACGCUGAGGAGCGAAAGCGUGGGGAGCGAACAGG
rnacentral:rRNA from 1 species